AUUCAAAUGAUGAGUCUUCAACAAGACGAAACGCGCUUUCUGGAU
rnacentral:hammerhead_ribozyme from 1 species